GAUGAACGCUAGCGGAAGGCUUAAUACAUGCAAGUCGAGCGGUAGGUGGCUUCGGCCAUUGAGAGCGGCGCACGGGUGAGUAACGCGUACAUGACCUGCCUGUCAGAAGGGGAUAGCCCUGGGAAACUGGGAUUAAUACCCUAUGGUAUUGAUAUUAUGAAUGAUAUCAAUUAAAGUUGAGGCGCUGACAGAUGGAUGUGCGUCUGAUUAGCUAGUUGGUAGGGUAACGGCCUACCAAGGCGACGAUCAGUAGGGGGCGUGAGAGCGUGGUCCCCCCACACGGGUACUGAGACACGGACCCGACUCCUACGGGAGGCAGCAGUAAGGAAUAUUGGUCAAUGCCCGCAAGGGUGAACCAGCCAUUCCGCGUGGAGGAUGAAGGCCCUAUGGGUUGUAAACUUCUUUUAGAUGGGAAGAAAAUGCUAGAUGUAUCUGGUACUGACGGUACCAUCAGAAUAAGCACCGGCUAAACUCCGUGCCAGCAGCCGCGGUAA
rnacentral:rRNA from 1 species